GAAAAAGAUAAAAUUCUCUUCCGACCUGGAGAGAAGUCAAUAAGUAAUGUAAAAGGGUUUAAAUCACUAAGUGGCCAUGUGCUUAUAUGUCACAUAUCACAUAGAGAUACAGAGGGGACUUCCAAAGAGUGAGCUAAAAGAAGUUCAAAGGUUGUCUCUGAGAAGCAGAAAAUGGUGAUGAGGAAGGGGUCCUACUAUUUUCAUAACAAGCCUUAUGAAAAAUUUUCACUCUUUAAGUUAUAUAGAAAUUAACAGGCAUAAAAUAUGGAAAAAAUACAAGGUAACUACAGAGACUUUUCAAAUGAACAACACCCUUCUCCCCAAUCUCUGUGACAACACUGUCUUGUUUCAGAUCUCACUUGUCUUCCCCCAACCACUCACCCACAUAACAAGGACACUAAGGAGAGGGAAGGGAAACACUGGAUGAUUCUGGGAUCUGCUCAGCCAGAAUCAUAUUAGAAUCCCUGGCUCUGUUUUUAGUCUGUUUUCACCAGAUAACUUCUUCUGGGCAACUUUGCUAAGAGCCACAGCCAAGUAAUACGAUGCAUGGCAUUUUUGGUUGAAAGGUGAUGCCAGCAAGCCAUUGAGAUGAUAUGAUUAUGUUAAGAUUUGCAUUCAUAUGGAUAUUGGACUCCUGCUGUCCACCUUGGCCUGCUAUGGGACUCCUGGAGAGUUCCCAUUGGUUGGGGAAGUGCGGUAGGAGGGAAUUCCGGAGGAGGAACCUCCUCUUGGGAUCCGGGAGAACUGCGGCAUGCGUCCAUCGAAAAUCUUCCCGGGCGCGGAUGGAGCAUUGGCGGCAGUUUCAAAAAAUAAAGUUUGUUCCUGCUUGAGUGGCUCGUGAUUUUGUGCCCAGCCAGACUGCGGCACAACUUAAAAGUUUUAUAUUGAAAUUAUAAGUUUCAAAACCAGGCUGACUCAAUACUUGCAUAUUUCUUCUUCCUUACUUUCCAUUGAAAGGUCCAAGCAAUCGAUUUCAAAUCGAUUCCUCUUUUGACCAAAGAGAAAGGAGGCUUCAUUCAAAGCCCUGAAGCAAUAAGAAAAAAAAAAAAAAGUCUACUUCUGUGGCAUGGUUUAAGUCAUCUUCCAAGUCCUCUCAUAAGUGAAAUUUCCUGAAUAAUAU
rnacentral:lncRNA from 1 species